rnacentral:rRNA from 1 species
GACGAAGGGGGCUAGCGUUGUUCGGAAUUACUGGGCGUAAAGCGAGUGUAGGCGGUUGUCCAAGUUGGAUGCGAAAGCCUUGAGCUCAACUCAAGAAAUGCAUUCAGGACUGGAUGACUAGAGGACCGGAGAGGAUAGUGGAAUUCCCAGUGAUAGUGGUGAAAUACGUAGAGAUUGGGAAGAACACCAGUGGCGAAGGCGGCUAUCUGGACGGUUAC